UCUUCUUCGCUCUUCUUCUUUGUCUUUAUCCUUAUCUCUGGUCUUUUUCUUCAUCGAAGUUCUCAUCUACCACUCUUCUUCUUCAUCGAAGUUCUCAUCUGCCGCUCUUCUUCUUCGUCGAAGUUUCUCAUCUAUCGCUAUUCUUCUUCAAGUUCCUCAUUUGCCAUUAUUAUUCGUUCACUCCUUUGUCUUGGUUCAUCAUCUGCCGCUCCAAGUCGUUGAAGCCAUCUGCCAUUUUUCAAGUUUUAGAAGAAAGCAGAAAAUGGUAAGAGCAAAAAAUACAACCAUUCCUCAUGAAGGCACAUCGUCAUUUGGAAUCCAAUUUUGAGACUUACUAUAUAAAAAACAAUACGAGGAGGUGUCGAACAAAUAUAUUUGCCUUGGAAGAAGUUUGGAUUUAGGACUUAUAACAAGUUUGGGUUUAUUUGAUGAAAUGAAUGGUUGGAUUCAUAAUUUGAAAUGGGACCAAUUGGUGAGUAUUAGGUAAGAUGGAUAUAAGCAUUUGAUCUAUGAGUUUUUUGAUAGUUUGGAAGUUGUGGAGACAGAUACUGAUGAGUUUUCGGCAUAUACAAUGUUUUUUAGAUUAAAGAAUAAGAACUUUGUAGUGAGACCACAAGAUUUAGCAACUUGGAUAGGAUUUGAUUUUGAAGGUUUGAAUAACAUAUCUAGAGCGUGGGAUUUCAGACAAGCUUGGAUGGUUGUUUCUAGGAUAGGGAUUUACCAUCCACAUAGGUGUAAAUCUACAAAGUUAAAGAAUCCCGCUAUGAGAGUAUUUCACAGAUAUAUGACUUACACAUUUAAUGGUUGGAAAGAGACAAAUGGAAAUGUGACGGUUAAGGAUUUAAUGUUCAUGGAAGUAGCAAUAGGAGGGAGACAAGUAAAUUCAGUGAAGUUAUUGAUUAAGAAGUUGGGAGAGGUUCAAGCAGAAAAAGGAGAAAUAUAGUGGGGGAUGCUUGUUACAUUAAUAUGUGAGAACUUGUGUAUUCAGAUCACCCCUAAUGAUGAAGCAAAUAAGAUUAAGUUUUCUGCAAAUAAUUUGUUGGGGGAUGUGACAUUGUGUAAAAUGGGUUUGAUUAAAAAGAAUAUGGCAGGAGAAUGGUUUGUGAUUAGGAUGAAAUGGAGGGAGAUGCAACGAUUCAGGAAGGUGUCAGUGUUCUAGAAGGGGUAAAUGAAGAACAAGUCUAUGUGCGCAAAAGAAGAAGAACGAGUAAUGAACCUGGAUCAUCUCAGAAUAUACAAAAUAUGUCUUCUCAUAUUUUAGAUGAAAUAGUAAGCAUAUUUGAGUGGAUCGAAAAGUAUCAAAAGGAGUGUUUUUCACGUAUUGACAGGAAAAUGCAGGAACAACUGGAUCAGUUGCAAAGUGAUUUCAACUCGUUCGCAUCAAGAAUAGAAGAAACGAUUGAUAUCCUUGGGGAACGCAUGACAAUUUUUCAGCAUGAUGAAGAACUUCUCAAUAGUCUCCUCCUCCUCCUCCAGUCAACGUCCACCCCCUACACCAUGAUGAAGAAUUUCUCAACAGUCUCCUCCUUGUCAACAUCCUUGGAGGAACGCACUAUGAAUGUUAAUUGUCAUUAUGUGUGGUUCAAAUACUAAGCUUUAUGUACGAAGAUUAUAUUUGCCUUUUGUUCAUAAAUAUGUUAAUUGUUAAAGAUUGAUUUUAGCUGAUGUUCUUGAUAAAGAUUGCCUUUUGUUUAU